AUUGAACGCUGGCGGCAGGCCUAACACAUGCAAGUCGAGCGGAUGAAGGGAGCUUGCUCCUGGAUUCAGCGGCGGACGGGUGAGUAAUGCCUAGGAAUCUGCCUGGUAGUGGGGGAUAACGUCCGGAAACGGGCGCUAAUACCGCAUACGUCCUGAGGGAGAAAGUGGGGGAUCUUCGGACCUCACGCUAUCAGAUGAGCCCAGGUCGGAUUAGCUAGUUGGUGGGGUAAAGGCCUACCAAGGCGACGAUCCGUAACUGGUCUGAGAGGAUGAUCAGUCACACUGGAACUGCGACACGGUCCAGACUCCUACGGGAGGCAGCAGUGGGGAAUAUUGGACAAUGGGCGAAAGCCUGAUCCAGCCAUGCCGCGUGUGUGAAGAAGGUCUUCGGAUUGUAAAGCACUUUAAGUUGGGAGGAAGGGCAGUAAGUUAAUACCUUGCUGUUUUGACGUUACCAACAGAAUAAGCACCGGCUAACUUCGUG
rnacentral:rRNA from 1 species